GUGGGAUUGUGGCUCAGCGGUAGAGUGCUCGAUUAGAACGGGCGGGACCGGGGUUCGAUUCUCUGCACUACA
rnacentral:tRNA from 1 species